GCCGCCGCGGUAAUACGGGGGAUGCAAGCGUUAUCCGGAUUUAUUGGGUUUAAAGGGUGCGUAGGCGGUCUGGUAAGUCAGCGGUGAAAUUUAGGGGCUCAACCUCUACCGUGCCGUUGAUACUGUCAGGCUAGAAUGCGGAUGCCGUGGGAGGAAUGUGUGGUGUAGCGGUGAAAUGCAUAGAUAUCACACAGAACACCGAUUGCGAAGGCAUCUCACGAAUCCGCAAUUGACGCUGAUGCACGAAAGCGUGGGGAUCAAACAGGAUUAGAUACCCC
rnacentral:rRNA from 1 species